AAGCCCCUUGGUAAUAACCAGGUCCAGAGUAUGGCUGUGGUUAUGGGUGGGCCCAGUAGAAAGCCCCUUGGUAAUAACCAGGUCCAGAGUAUGGCUGUGGUUAUGGGUGGGUUCAGUAGAAAGCCCCUUGGUAAUAACCAGGUCCAGAGUAUGGCUGUGGUUAUGGGUGGGCCCAGUAGAAAGCCCCUUGGUAAUAACCAGGUCCAGAGUAUGGCUGUGGUUAUGGGUGGGCCCAGUAGAAACACCCUUGGUUAUAACCAGGUCCAGAGUAUGGCUGUGGUUAUGGGUGGGCCCAGUAGAAAGCCCCUUGGUAAUAACCAGGUCCAGAGUAUGGCUG
rnacentral:lncRNA from 1 species